rnacentral:misc_RNA from 2 species
UCGCACGGCUGCGGGCGGUGCUGCCGCAGGCGUCGCGGCCCGCGUUCGCGUUCAGCGCGCGCGAGAUCGUGCUGCUCGGGCGCUACCCGCACGCGCGCCGCGCGGGCGCGCUCACGCAUGCGGACGGCGAGAUCGCGUCGCAGGCGCUCGCGCUCGCCGGCGCAACGGCGCUCGAUGCGCGCGACGUGACGACGCUCUCGGGCGGCGAGCUUGCCCGCGUGCAGUUCGCGCGCGUGCUCGCGCAGCUCUGGCCGCCGCCCGGCGCGGCGCAGCCGCCGCGCUACCUGCUGCUCGACGAGCCGACCGCCGCGCUCGACC